AUACCAUGAUGAUGGCAUUUUCUUAAUAAUUCCUUAAAUCAUUCUCAUGCCUCAUACAAGGACUCAUCAUCAGACUACUGAAAUGUAGUAAUUUCAUUUCAAAGCUU
rfam:Gossypium raimondii chromosome 10, whole genome shotgun sequence.